AGGGAGUUAGUUACACAGAGGGAAGGCGUUAGCACCCAAAGUGUCCUAGAUACUCCUAGGGAGCCUUUUUUGUGUUCAAGUGUUUUGGUCAAAAUGAUGUUUGAUAAAAAUAUAGAGUGAGGGGAUGAGAAAAGAAUUUUAUUAAUCAUACUUUUGUGUUUGACAAGACCUUUAAUCUUAUGCCUACGUACCAACAUAAAAACGAGGGAUCAAAACCUCGUAGUUCGUGGUAAAAAUUUCAAAGAAGUUUGUGGAUUGAUUUUAACAAAAGUUUUUUAAAAGGGGAGGCACAAAAGGCCAAAGACUUGAAUGAGGUUAAAAGAAAAUUUAUUAUGAAUUAAUCAAAAUAAGUGGAUUAAAAGAAAAAUCAGAAAAUAAAAAGAAAUUAGAAAAAAC
rnacentral:lncRNA from 1 species